AAAGCAGAAAAUUACAAAUGCUGGUGCAGGGGGCGGACACCAGUGAGCUUGAAAGAUUUUUGAAUGACUAAUACCCCCUAUAAUAGUAUUCUGAACAAAAACCCAAGUGACGGGAGUAGACGUUUAAAAGACGAGGAAUCAUACUAAUCUUUUACCAAUAUCAGAGCUAUUUUACAAUUAAAAUAACUAUUACAAUGAAACGAAAAUUACAACUCAAACUUGAAAUAAUAUUUACAAUGUGUGGCCGAAGUUGGGCAAACUGCGGCUGCUAUAGUGUCAAGGGGCUAAGUAAAGCUACGGUCCUUGACAUUCUCCCCCAUUUGUUUUGGCGACGUCCUCGGUGCCAUCAAUGCAUGAUAUGCUUCAAUUAAUGAUUUGAAGGCCCCGAGAUCUUUUUCUCUUUCCCAAGUGGACGGAGAGAGCCAAGUAGAGCCUUUCUAAUCCACGUCUGGGAUGUAAGUUGAAAAAGCAGCGGUUCAUCGUGACCAUUUUUGGGGUUGAAAAUGUCAUAGCAUUAGGGUGGAUGGGGUUGGGUACACCUAAUAUUUAAAUGAAUAAUUUUAUCAUUUACUUAUUGAAAUGGAAAAUUGAAAAAAAGUUGUGCAUGUAAUUUCCUCUAAUGUAAUAUUUGGCCAAAAUAGUUUAUAGACCAGAUGUGCGUGUUAGUUGAAGGUUAAAUAUAAAAAUUUGACAAAAUGUUGAUAUAUAC
rnacentral:lncRNA from 1 species